rnacentral:rRNA from 1 species
CCUACGGGAGGCAGCAGUGGGGAAUAUUGGACAAUGGGCGCAAGCCUGAUCCAGCAAUGCCGCGUGGGUGAAGACGGCCUGCGGGUUGUAAAGCCCUUUAAGCGGGGAGGAACGCCGGGACGCGAAAUAGCGUUUCGCUGUGACGUUACCCGCAGAAUAAGCACCGGCU